AAUAGGUGCACUUGGGCUGAUUUCAUAUGUUCACGGGCACAAGCUCUGUGCUGGACUCUGUAUAGUUGGAGGAUGCAGAGGAAUAAUGGAUGCGCUCAAGGUGAUCGUAACAUUCUUCAAGGUCACGAGCCCUCAGGUUGCAUCUAUAUCAUAGGAGCCUGGAGACCACAUGAAAUAGAUGCACUUGGGCUGAUUUCAUAUCUUCAUGGGCACAAGCUCUGUGGUGGACUCUCUAUAGUUGGAGGACGCAGAGGAAUACAAGCUAGACCUGAUUUAAGGAUUCCUCCCUGAUCAUGAGCUCUAUCUAGGAUUGUGGUUCUGUUACAGAAUGGACAUACUUGACCUGACUUAAGUAGCAAGACCUGGUGGCAGAGAGGCCAAUGU